rnacentral:rRNA from 1 species
UUUGGUUAAGUUAGAAAGGGCGCACGGUGGAUGCCUUGACACUAGGAGUCGAUGAAGGACGGGACUAACGCCGAUAUGCUUCGGGGAGCUGUAAGUAAGCUUUGAUCCGAAGAUUUCCGAAUGGGGAAACCCACCAUACGUAAUGGUAUGGUAUCCUUAUCUGAAUACAUAGGAUAAGGAAGACAGACCCAGG